rnacentral:rRNA from 1 species
GUACAUGCCCAAAACAUAAAAUUAAUGCACUGAAUCCCAUUAGAACUAUGUAGUUAAGUGUGAUCGGGAUAGAGUAGUACAAGGAUGGGUGACCUCUCUAGAAUUCCUAGUGUUUUACAUG